GUUGCUAUUAAUUUGCCAUGCUUAAUGCUUGUCACUAGGGCCCGAGUGCCAUGAUUUCAGAUCUGAAAUUAUUAUGUUGCCACCAAUAUAUGUGUGUUUUAGAUCCGAUCUUGCAAGUUGUAGUUACCUACUAUGUGUUAUGAUCCGGCAACCCCGGAGUGACAAUAACCGGAACCACUCCCGGUGAUGACCAUAGUUUGAGGAGUUCAUGUGUUCACCAAGUGCUAAUGUGUUGGUCCGGUUCUUUAUUAAAAGGAGAACCUUAAUAUCCCAUAGUUUCCUUUUGGACCCCGCAACCACGGGAGGGAUGGACAAUAGAUGUCAUGCACGUUCUUUUCCCUAAGCACGUAUGACGACACACGGAAUGCAUGCCUACAUCACAUUGAGGAACGGGAGCUAGCCACAUAUCUCUCCGUGUUAUAGCUGUUGCAUGAUGAAUAUCAUCCAAACAAAUCACCGACUCAUUGCCUACGAGUUUGUCCUAUUGCUGUUACUUCUCUUGAUUUGCUGCUGCUACUACUGUUCCUACUGUUGUUACUUGUCUUGCUUUGCUACUGCUACUAUUGUUGCUACUGUUGUUACUUGUCUUGCUCUGCUGCUACUGUUGCUACUACUGUCGCUUGCUACUGUUGCUACUUGCUACUGCUGUCACUAUUGUUGUUCCUUGCCGCUGCUAUUGCUCGUUACACUGCCGUUACUCGUUACUUUGCUAUUACUACUGUGAUUGCAGAUACUAAUCUUUCAGGUGUGGUUGAAUCUGACAAAUGCAGCUGCUAAUACUCGAGGGUAUUCUCUCACCUCCUAUAGGCGAUCAACAAAUUUGGGUCGAAUACUCUACCCUCGAAAUUUGUUGCGAACCCACGCGCUGGUGGUCCAUCAACAACGUUCUUCUAGUUUCAUUGCUGGGGAGUGCUAGUAGCAUUCUUCUAGUGCCGUUGCAGGAGAAGGUUUGUUGUCAUAAGCAUUCGUCUAGCCACCGCCAGAGAUUGCAGAUCAGAGCACUAUUGAAUUUCUGAUAAGUAUAUGUGGUUGACAUAUUGUUGAUCAGAAGUAAUGUAGAAUUUCUGUAAAGCAUACAGGGUUGUUUUGAAAGGAGUUUUUCAAAGGAAAACAUGGAUAGAGCUACUUGAACAUUGAGCAUCAAGAUCGAUAGAGAUAGAUCAAAAUGCUUAAUAGAAUUUUCAAUGAAAUGCAUGCCUUGACAAGUU
rnacentral:lncRNA from 1 species